AUUGCUUCUGGGCCUUUUGGCUAAGAUCAAGUGUAUUGACAUGGAUGUCUAGCUCAUUAAUCCUCAGGGUUUUUUUUUUUUUAAUUUCUUUUCUAUCAAUGUACAGAAAUCAGUUGCAUUCUUAUACACUAAUAAUGAAGCAACAGAAAGACA
rnacentral:snRNA from 1 species